CGGUAAUUCCAGUUCCAAUAGCGUAUACUAAAGUUAUUGCAGUUAAAAAGCUCGUAGUUGGAUUUCUGCGGGGACGGAGCGGCCGGACGCAACUUGCGUCUCGAGCUAGCGCUUUCCCCGCAUCCUGCCGCGAACCGUGCUACCAUUAGUUUGGUGGCGCUGGGGAUCGGCUCGAUUACUUUGAGAAAAAUAGAGUGUUCAAAGCAGGCCACACGCCUUGAAUAAGUUAGCAUGGAAUAAUGACUAAGGACUUUGGUUCUUUUCGUUGGUGUUCGGGACUGAAGUAAUGAUUGAUAGGGACAGUUGGGGCGGUCCGUAUUCCAAAGCGAGAGGUGAAAUUCUUAGACCCUCGGAAGACGAACAGCUGCGAAAGCGUUCCGCAAGGAUGUUCCCUUUGAUCAAGAACGAAAGUUGGGGGAUCGGAGACGAUCAGAUACCGUCGUAGUCUCAACUAUAAACUAUACCAGCUAGGGAUCGGCCAACGUUUAAUUAUUCGACUUGGUCGGCACCUUAUGAGAAAUCAAAGCAUCUGGGUUCCGGGGGGAGUAUGGUCGCAAGGCUGAAACUUAAAGGAAUUGACGGAAGGGCACCACCAGGCGUGGAGCCUGUGGCUUAAUUUGACUCAACACGGGAAAACUUACCAGGUCCAGACAUAGGAAGGAUUGACAGAUUGAUAGCUCUUUCUUGAUUCUGUGGGUGGUGGUGCAUGGCCGUUUUUAGUCGGUGAAGUGAUUUGUCUGCUUAAUUGCGUUAACGGACGAGACCCCAGCCUGCUAAAUAGCGCGGCCGAGCUUUGCUCGGUACGAGCUUCUUAGAGGGACCAUGAUGCGCGAUAGCACAAGGAAGUUUGGGGCAACAACAGGUCUGUGAUGCCCUUAGAUGUUCUGGGCCGCACACGGGCUACACUGGCGCCUGCAACGAGCAUAUCAGCUAGCCCGAGAGGGUCUUGGCUAAUCUUUGGAACCGGCGCCGUGCUUGGGAUUGACCAUUGCAAUUGUUGGUCAUGCAACGAGGAAUGCCUUGUAAACGCGAGUCAUCAGCUCGCAUUGAGUACGUCCCUGCCCUUUGUACACACCGCCCGUCGCUCCUACCGAUGAAUGUUCCGAUGAAAUUUUCGGAGAGCGCCGGAGAACGGGGCUCUGCCCUGCAGAACUGGAGGCUCAAAGUCACUUAAAUCUGAACAUUUCGAGGAAGGAGAAGUCGUAACAAGGUAGCCG
rnacentral:rRNA from 1 species